rnacentral:tRNA from 2 species
GGGGAGUUUCUAGAGUGGUCAAAUAGGACAGACUGUAAAUCUGUUGGCUUUCGCCUUCUGAGGUUCGAAUCCUCAACUCCCCA